UUUUCUGUAGGUGGAGAUCUCAACAUCCAGGGCUAGUUUGAUGUCCAGCAGCUCUUGAUUUCUCAUAUUCCAUUCGCAUCUUGUUGAGUGCUACAGAGAUGUCGAAGGACUUCCCGGUGUCUACUUCAAUCAUUGAGACUGAAGUAUCCAUUGUUGUUGUGCCCAGUUUAGAUUGCAAAGAUGACAAUUCCUACAGUGAUAAACAUAACACAGAGAGAGAAAUUAACACUUGUGUUUAGCUAGGUUGCGUUAAAUUAAUGUAAGUCUUUUACAUUGUUACAUUAUUUCAAAUAAAUGCUGUUCUUUCAAGCUUUC